UAAUACGGAGGGUGCGAGCGUUGUCCGGAAUCACUGGGCGUAAAGGGCGCGUAGGCGGCCCGGUAAGCAGGGGGUGAAAUCUUGCGGCUCAACCGCAAGGCUGCCUUCUGAACUGUCGGGCUGGAGCACGGUAGAGGCAGAUGGAAUUCCCGGUGUAGCGGUGGAAUGCCUAGAGAUCGGGAAGAACACCAGUGGCGAAGGCGGUCUGCUGGGCCGUUGCUGACGCUGGGGCGCGACAGCGUUGGGAGCAAACA
rnacentral:rRNA from 1 species